UGUUAAAAAUUUCAUCCACUUCUAUUAAAAAUCGGUUGUGGUUGACGGAAUAGCCGUGUGUACUUCAUGUUAACAUAUAGGAACUAGUUUUUAACAAUAAAAAUGAAUAAAAUUUUUAACA
rnacentral:pre_miRNA from 1 species